AAAUUUAUUUUUUAUAUUUAAUUAUAUAUAAAAUUAAAGUAUAGGAGGGAUUAGCUUCUUAUAAUAUAGAUUAAUAAAAAGUUAUAUAAAUUUUAAAUACUUUAAUUAGUCUUAAAAGUAGAUAUAUUUAUAAAGUGUUUUAACUAAAUUUUUUUUAUUAUAUUAUUUAUAAUAACUUUUUUGAAAUAUUAAAAAAUUAAUUUUAAUAAGGAAAAUUUUAAUAUAAUGAUUUUAUUAGUAAAAUUUAAUGUUAAUUUAAAAAAUAAAAUAUUAUAUAUUGUUUAAUAAUUUUAUAAUAAUAUAAAGGAAUUCAGCAAAAAAUUUCUUUGCCUGUUUAUCAAAAACAUGUCUGUUUGAAGGUAUAAAAAGUUUAACCUGCCCACUGAUAAAUUUUUUAAAGGGCCGCGGUAUCCUGACUGUGCAAAGGUAGCAUAAUCGUUAGUUUUUUAAUUGGAAUCUUGUAUGAAUGGUUUGACAAAAGAAAAUCUGUCUUUAUAAUUAUUUAUUGAAUUUAACUUUUAAGUGAAAAGGCUUAAAUAAAUUAAAAAGACGAUAAGACCCUAUAAAGCUUAAUAUUAAAUUUUUAUUUAAUUAAAUUUUGAAUUAUAAUAAAAAUUUGGUAAAUAAAUUUUAUUUUGUUGGGGUGAUAAUGGUAAAAUGAUUAUUAACUGUUAAUUUUUUUAGACAAAAAUAAGUGAAUAAGUGAUUUAUUAAUAAAGGAUCCUGUAUUAAAGAUUAAAAGUUUAAGUUACUUUAGGGAUAACAGCGUUAUUUUUUUUGAGAGUUCUUAUCGAGAAAAAAGUUUGCGACCUCGAUGUUGAAUUAAAAUAUCUAUAUAAUUGUAGCAGUUAUAUAAGAAGGUCUGUUCGACCUUUAAAACAUUUACAUGAUUUGAGUUCAGACCGGCGUAAGCCAGGUCGGUUUCUAUCUUUUAAUAUUUAAAAAUUAUUUUAGUACGAAAGGAUUGAAUAAUUAAAAUUAUUUUUAAUAAUUGGAUGA
rnacentral:rRNA from 1 species